UACAGAGGUCUCAAGCGUUGUUCGGAUUCAUUGGGCGUAAAGGGUGCGUAGGUGGCGCUGUAAGUCGGGUGUGAAAUUUCGGAGCUUAACUCCGAAACUGCAUUCGAUACUGCGGUGCUUGAGGACGGGAGAGGAGACUGGAAUUCAUGGUGUAGCAGUGAAAUGCGUAGAGAUCAGGAGGAAGACCAGUGGCGAAGGCGGGUCUCUGGACAGUUCCUGACACUGAGGCACGAAAGCCAGGGGAGCAAACGGG
rnacentral:rRNA from 1 species